UACGGAGGGUGCAAGCGUUGUUCGGAAUUAUUGGGCGUAAAGGGCGCGCAGGCGGUUGUGAUAGUCAGAUGUGAAAUCCUCCGGCUCAACUGGAGAACUGCAUCUGAAACUUCACAACUAGAGUACAGGAGAGGGAAACGGAAUUCCCGGUGUAGAGGUGAAAUUCGUAGAUAUCGGGAGGAACACCAGUGGCGAAGGCGGUUUCCUGGCCUGAUACUGACGCUGAGGCGCGAAAGCGUGGGGAGCAAACAGGAUUAGAUACCCUGGUAGUCCACGCGGUAAACGGUGAACACUAGGUGUGGGAGGUGUAAUACCUUCUGUGCCGAAGCUAACGCGUUAAGUGUUCCGCCUGGGAAGUACGGCCGCAAGGUUGAA
rnacentral:rRNA from 1 species